AAAAAGACCAGGGAAGAAGAGGUCCAUCACAAUAAGGGUGCAACUCCUACCUGAGACCUGAUCUGCUCCCUUCUGCCUUUGAUGUUCCUCACUCUGCGCCAGGGGUCACAGUGCUGGCAGACAUGCCAUGGGGUAUGAAUGAUUUAAAGCAACAGCUGUGGACAUGACAUGGAUGCUGCUUCUUCACCUCACGUGCCAUCAGCUUCCAGUAUCCAUGACUGAAGCCAAGGAUGAGAAGCUUCUUUCUGCUUGGGAGCUGCCCAGAUGAGAUGCCAAAGGAAUAAACACUGACCAGGAGAGAGAAGACAGGUGGAUUAUUCAGACAAGACAGAUAUCUCCAAAUGACAAAGGUUUCAUGAAAUAUGGUCUUGACCAAUUCAGGAACUAAUCAAAGUGGUGUUUAAACCUUUGAGAAUACACAGAGGAUGGAAAAAAGCAGAAAAGAAGAAGGAGGAAUCACAGAGUGAUUGCUGAAAUCACAAUCCACUCAAGUCCUGGAAAGGUUCUAGAGCAAAUGAUAAAGCAAAUAACUUUCAGCCACUGGAAUAUAACAGUGAUAAGAAGAACUAGAAAAAGAACCUGAUAAGCCACCUCAAUUUCUGUCUUUGAUGGAUUACUAGGUUCAGUAGGUAACAGGAGAGCAGUAGUUGUAUUUCAGCUUGAAGAAGAAUUUUGGCAUGUAGUACAUAGCUAUAUAAAAAUUAAUGAAAAAAUAAUUUAAAUGAAAAUAUCACAAAGUAUGUUCACAACUGACUGAAGAACGGUGAUUCAGCGCUGAAACAAUUUCUACAGAUGAACAGGUAUCUGAAGUAUCCUUGAAGUAUUUGUACUGGAAAUAAUUAUGGUUAAGGAAUUAAUUAUAUUUACAUUACAAUGGAAAAGAAAAGGCAAAAACUGCAGAUAGCAAUCAAGUAAGGAGAUACUGCAAGUAGAUUCAUGACCUUAUCCUGUACUUUAGGACUCUUGAGUAGUAUGGAAAUAGUGGGCUAUAAUAAAGUGAUAAAGCACUCCAGAACAGUUAAUAAGCCCAAAACUAGAAGAUGAACCUUGUUAAAAAUUGCUUUGAAACAUUACAUUUGGGGGAAAACAAAUCACAGGUGCCAAGAUAACCAGCAAGAGAAACACCUGAGCUUCCUCUUCCCUAAUGGUGAAUUUAAGCAACUGUGUUAAUGGCAAUUGCAAAUGGGGCAUGGUGAGUUUGGAGAUACUACAUAGAUACACUAAUGACAGUCUGUUGGCUGGCAUAGCUUCAGAGAUGUACGCAUGAACACACAAAACCUCCAGACAGUCACAUCUAAGAAGGUGUUAAGUUGGCAAGUUGCCUGAGAAAGCACUUCUCUGGCAUGAAAGCAUCAACUAGAGAAAUAUAACCAAGACAGCUAGCAGGGCAUAUAGGAAGAAAACUUUUUAAAACAAUUAAAUUCAUUCAAUUGAAGACCCAUUUGACACUGUGAUGGAAAAAAAAAAUAAAAAAUACCCGCCUAAAAACCCUCAAAGGUAAACUUCCUACACAAUUAGGUUUUGUUUUCUCUGUUUGGAUGUUCAAUCUGUCAUCACAAUGUCUUUGAAACCUUGUUUUUAAUGAAGACAGGUUGCAAUGGAGCAAAGGAGAUAAAAGUUGGUGACAGACAAGGUCCAGAAGGGAUUUUUAUAAGCUGAAAUCAAUUUUAUCUAGGAAAUCAGUGAAGAAUCAUACUGAAAACUAAUUCAAACCAUACAUAUAUUAUUUUUUCAAAUAUUUCUGAAUAUUUUGGAAUAAAGGGAAUAGUUCUGGGCAUUCAUACAACUAAACUGAAAUUGUAGUCCAAUUAGUCCAAUUGUAGUUACAGGAGUACUCAAAAAUUAUUUCUUUUGCUAUUUUCCAAAUAGUUUGCUGAAUUUUCUUCUCAGAUUUGCAUUGCCAUGUGGCAGGAGAACAACCAAGGCUGACUGGAAGUUUGAACACAGAGCUAUUUGUGAGGCCACAUGUGAGAAAUAUAGGUUACGCUGUGCUUUGCUUUUGGCACCUAAGAAACUUGUCUGAGUGAACAUACCUGCCAAAAGUUACAUUAGCAACAAUCUUGUGUCUGUGCCAACACAUUUCCCUUCAAACAUGGAAAUAAUUUACCCCACGUGUCUGGCCUUCACUGAUGCUUCGAAUGCCGAAACAUUUCUGCUGCAAAUUAAUUUGAGUUUUUACCUUGGAUGAAGGGACCAGUCUGCAGACUUGGUGGCAUUUGGAACACAAGGUGAGAGACUGAGAGAACUGCAUUUGUCCUGUCUUGAGAAGAGAAGGUGAAAUGAGAUCUUAUGAUUUUAUUCAUCUACAUAACAUGUGCUUCUAAAGAAGACAGAGCCAAACUUCAGGAGGUGCAAAGGAAAGAGGCAAUAAACACAGGCUGCAAUGAAGGAAAUUCCAACUGGGUAUUUGGAAUUUUUUUCAUCAUGAGAGUGGUCACAGACUGGAACAGGUGUGCAGGGGGACAAGGAGUCUCCAUUGCAGGUGUUUAAAACCCAACUGGACACAGCCCUGAGAAGCCCAAAUUAUCUUCAUAGCUGGGACUGAUUUCAAAAUUGAAUCUGCUCUAAACAUGCAUGUUGGACCAGGCAGCUUCCAAGGAUGAAUUAUUCCCUGACAGAAAGAGCUGCUGCAAGGCUGCACUGCUGUAUUAAAAAUGUGCCUAUAAGAAAUAGGCCCUGAUCUUAACAGCAUCAACAACAAAGCAACAAUUUUUAGAUGCUUCUCUCUGGCCCCAUAUGCCAGCAGGUUAUUAAGAAGGGUUAUUGGAUGGCAGAUAUGUGCAGAUAUCCAGAAUGUGGUGUGCAUUGUAUUAAUGCACAAAAACUUCCUGUAGUUGUAUUUUCUCAAAUGAGAGUUGUUCCUUCAUGAGCACUGCUUUGAACACCUUACAAGAAAAGGGAUGUGCAGGCCUUGUUCUUUUACCUUGUACUGACAGAAGAGAGACACCCUCUUGUUAUGCUUGCAGGAGAAUACAACAACUCUGAGUUGGUUUUAUUUUUCUGCGUGCAUGUUUGCUUUUAACAUCCCUAAAAGCUUCCUAGUGUUAGAACUAAAAACAAGCAAACAAACAAAAAAUCCAAACAGGAUCUGAGUUUCAUGUUACAAUUUUAUCCAGCAUCUGCAAUCCAAUCUCAACAAAACAAGGGGUUUGUUUAGAAUGAGUCUGGAUUCUAAACAAACAAGUGAAGAGUUAGGAGAUACUCUCAAAGCACAUGCAAACCACACAUUAAAUACACUGCACAGGAUUUGGAAAUUUUGCUUUAAUACCCAGUUCUGCACAAAAACCCUAAAGGAACUUGGACAAGAUAUUUUGUUUUUCUCUAUUUCGCUUCUCUCCCAUAAAAAAGAAACUAGUAUUAUCUUUUUGCCACUCUUUUUCUUUCUAAAUACACAGAGCUGAAAAAGCCCACAGGAAAGGAGCUCUGUCCUCUUACACUAUGAACUCACCAGCAGUCAAGUUCUCAAAAAAAAAAAAAAAAAAGAAGUAAAAAAAAGCUGACAUAUAUGGUGAACAGAAAGAGAAAGAAACAAAAAGAGAAAGUACUCCCUUGCAGGUAUACUAUUGAUUUGGCUUAAUUGAAAAGCUUAUGACUCUUAGUGGGUGAAGGCUUUUCCCACAUCCUUAUGCAGCACGGUCUGUCUCUUGUGCCAUUGAGAUCGUGUCCAUUAGCCCACAACAAGUCUUCCUUCAGGACAGCUUCUUUUACAAGAAACAUUUUCCACCCAGAUUGGGAUUUAGAAACACAAUCCCCUGGGAUCUGUGUGAGGAAUCUGGUGGAAUCUAAGCUGGUGGCACAGAAAGCAGACACCUGGCGCAUGAGGACUGGACACGGUUUCACAUGGAGCCACAUCAUCCCUUUGUCUCUUCAGUUUGCAUAAAUCUGCAGAGCUGGCUUUGGGCUCUAAACCAAAAUGCCACAUGCAGGUAACGCUUUGCAGAGUGUAAAUGUAAGCAUUUAAAUUUAUCUGAAAGGCAGAACAGGUUUCAGCACUGUUUUGUUUCCCAGAGUUCUUGAGAACAUUCACUCUCAGGCCCUGUGGUGAAGAGGUCCUCCAACUCCCCCUCAAAGCAAGCCUUCUCCUUGCCUGUGUCUGUACAUUCCUGGACAUCUUAUAAUCCAAGCUCUCACACAUGCUGUCUGGAAGCCAUGGCCACUGAGAGGGCCCUCCUGCCAGUGUGUCCUGACUAAUAGAAGAGAACAAGUCCUUCACUGCUGCCCAAGCAUCCUAUGUCAAUGCAAUAAAA